rnacentral:lncRNA from 1 species
GGAAAACGAAGCACGUCUACGGCUGUUCGUUCUGGAGUUAGAUUGAGAUUACAUAGAACUGAAAAUCUGAACACUACAACUGAUGCUCUUUGCGUACUUCAAUAGACAGCCUGACUGCAAUUUUACUAUUUCUCUACCUGUAACUCUCACGCUGGCCGGACAAGACUUUGCGCAUGGUCCCCAUUCGCUCGUCUGCCGGAUCAACGUUAUGAUCGGCCGCCCCCUUCGCCACGUUGCCCGCGCCACCUGCUUCGUUUCAGCAUCACCUUUCAUCAACCUGUCUUGGCCGGCCAGUGGAUCGGUCACUACUGGGGUCCCAGAAAGAGCGCAGAACCUUGUUUGUCCUAAGAAAACGAAUGCAGCGGACGGAACAGUUGUGAAGUGACGGGAACGUUACGAGAGAAAAGGAGGGCAACAGACGCAAGAAGGUUGCCUCUUAAACCGCUAAAGUAACGUCGUAGACAACAGACUGACCUGAGAGACCUUUUUCUCUUUUGUUAUUUCUUCAUCGUUCGGUGCCGUUGCCUUUCCUGCUGCUUCUCGUCCGCCACACAUAGUCUGGUUGCCUCUGGCUAGGAAGGCCUUACUAAUGGUACGACCGCUAGCCAGAUGUUAAUAGCCUCUCCCUGUUUCGGUUGGGCACAGGGUGGCCUUAGUCAUCCCCUUAGGGUUCACCUAUGGGUCUUAUUUUCCCACUUCCAUGCGCAAGGCAAAGGAUGCAGGGCUACCACCGCACAGAUCCCUGCUUUCUUUCUGCUAGCGUUCACAGUUUCUUAUUAUCCCUGUCACAUCCUGCUCUGCUACCAUCGACUAAUUACACCCGCUACGGAUUGCGUCAUAGAGAGUGAAGCAGACCCUUGAGGUCUGAAGCCUCAAGGCAACGCAAUGGUGAACACCAACUUGCUACGAUG